UACGGGGGGGGCAAGCGUUGUUCGGAAUUACUGGGCGUAAAGGGCUCGUAGGUGGCCAACUAAGUCAGACGUGAAAUCCCUCGGCUUAACCGGGGAACUGCGUCUGAUACUGGAUGGCUUGAGUUUGGGAGAGGGACGCGGAAUUCCAGGUGUAGCGGUGAAAUGCGCAGAUAUCGGGAGGAACACCAAUGGCGAAGGCAGCUUGCUGGGACGGUACUGACGCUGAGGCGCGAAAGCGUGGGGAGCAAACAGG
rnacentral:rRNA from 1 species